GGAUGACAAGAAUUAUGAAUCAAUUAGAUGAGUGAAUGAAUUUAUUCAUUGUAAACUCUAACUUUGAGGCAUAUUAUUUUCUUUGACUUAACUUUA
rnacentral:snoRNA from 1 species